rnacentral:tRNA from 1 species
GCGAGUGGUAUUCGAUUUGGCGGGGUCUUAAAGUUACUCAUCGAUUCUCAUCGAUUUUUCACUCCAAAUGACUCGAAAUCAAGUUGUCCGCAAGGGCACGUGGGUUCGAAUCCCACCCGCUGCGCCA